rnacentral:rRNA from 1 species
UAGGGAAUAUUAGAAAUGGACGAAAGUCUGAUCUAGCGACACCGCGUGUGCGAAGAAGGCCUUCGGGUUGUAAAGCACUUUUUGGAAGGAAUAGGAAGGAAGGUACUUCCAGAAUAAGUCUCGGCUAACUACGUGCCAGCAGCCGCGGUAACACGUAGGAGGCGAACGUUAUCCGGAUUUACUGGGCGUAAAGCGCGUGUAGGUGGUUCUGUAAGUAGGGCGUGAAAGCUCCUGGCUCAACUGGGAGAGGCCGUUCUAAACUGCAGAGCUAGAGGAUGGUAGAGGGAGGUGGAAUUCCAGGUGUAGCGGUGGAAUGCGCAGAUAUCUGGAGGAACACCAGUGGCGAAGGCGGCCUCCUGGACCAUUCCUGACACUCAGACGCGAAAGCUAGGGUAGCAAACGG